rnacentral:rRNA from 1 species
GACGAACGCUGGCGGCGUGCUUAACACAUGCAAGUCGAACGGAAAGGCCCGGCUUUUGUGGGUUGCUCGAUUGGCGAACGGGUGAGUAACACGUGAGUAACCUGCCCUUGACUUUGGGAUAACUUCAGGAAACUGGGGCUAAUACCGGAUAGGAUCUCCUGCUGCAUGGGGGGGGUUGGAAAGUUUCGGCGGUGGGGGAUGGACUCGCGGCUUAUCAGCUUGUUGGUGGGGUAGUGGCUUACCAAGGCUUUGACGGGUAGCCGGCCUGAGAGGGUGACCGGCGACAUUGGGACUGAGAUACGGCCCAGACUCCUACGGGAGGCAGCAGUGGGGAAUAUUGCACAAUGGGCGGAAGCCUGAUGCAGCAACGCAGCGUGCGGGAUGACGGCCUUCGGGUUGUAAACCGCUUUCGCAUGUGACGAAGCGUGAGUGACGGUAAUGGGUAAAGAAGCACCGGCUAACUACGUG